rnacentral:rRNA from 1 species
CAGCAGCCACGGUAAUACGAAGGGGGCUAGCGUUGCUCGGAAUUAUUGGGCGUAAAGGGUGCGUAGGCGGCUUGACAAGUCUUGUGUGAAAUCUAUGGGCUCAACCCAUAGUCUGCACGGGAAACUGUCGGGCUUGAGAAUGGGAGAGGUGAGUGGAAUUUCCGGUGUAGCGGUGAAAUGCGUAGAUAUCGGAAGGAACACCUGUGGCGAAAGCGGCUCACUGGACCAUUUCUGACGCUGAUGCACGAAAGCUAGGGGAGCAAACAGGAUUAGAUACCCCUGUAGUCCCUGUCUCUUAUAC